rnacentral:rRNA from 1 species
UACGAAGGGGGCUAGCGUUGUUCGGAAUUACUGGGCGUAAAGCGAACGUAGGCGGUGUUCCAUGUCAGAGGUGAAAGCCUGGGGCUCAACUCCAGAAUUGCCUUUGAAACGGGGACGCUUGAGUCCGGGAGAGGAUGGCGGAAUUCCUAGUGUAGAGGUGAAAUUCGUAGAUAUUAGGAAGAACACCGGUGGCGAAGGCGGCCAUCUGGCUCGGUACUGACGCUCAGGUUCGAAAGCGUGGGGAGCAAACAGG